rnacentral:rRNA from 1 species
CCGUAGGUGAACCUGCGGAAGGAUCAUUAGUGAUUUGGCCUCUGUGCCUAAACACAAUCCCAUACCUCUGUGAACUGUCAGCCCUCGGGCUCAAACAUUGUGUAAUGAACGUCUAUAACAUAAUCUAAUAAAACUUUCAACAACGGAUCUCUUGGCUCUCGCAUCGAUGAAGAACGCAGCGAAAUGCGAUAAGUAAUGUGAAUUGCAGAAUUCAGUGAAUCAUCGAAUCUUUGAACGCACCUUGCGCCUUUUGGUAUUCCGAAAGGCAUGCCUGUUUGAGUGUCAUGAACUCUCAAUCCUCUCGGGUUUCCGAUUGGAUUGGACUUGGGUGUUGCCGUCUGGCUCAUCUCAAAUGACUUAGUGGAUGUCUCCCCUAGUCGAUGUAAUAAGUUUCAUCGGUGAAGGGUCUAGUCUGCUCACAAUCGCCUUUGCUGGCAACAUUUGUACUCUGACCUCAAAUCAGGUAGGGCUACCCGCUGAACUUAAGCAUAUCAAUANGCGGAGGA